rnacentral:rRNA from 1 species
AGGUUGGCUUAGAAGCAGCCAUCCUUUAAAGAAAGCGUAAUAGCUCACUAGUCGAAUCGGCCUGCGCGGAAGAUAUAACGGGGCUCAAACUAUACACCGAAGCUACGGACGCAUGCUUGCAUGCGUGGUAGAGGAGCGUUCUGUAGGCCGUUGAAGGGAAAGCUGAGAGGCAUCCUGGAGGUAUCAGAAGUGCGAAUGCUGACAUGAGUAACGAUAAGGGGAGUGAAAAGCUCCCCCGCCGGAAGACCAAGGUUUCCUAUCCAAUGCUAAUCAGGGUAGGGUGAGUCGGCCCCUAAGGCGAGGCUGAAGAGCGUAGUCGAUGGGAAGCAGGUUAAUAUUCCUGCACCACUCAAUAUUGCGAAGGAGGGACGGAGAAGGCUAGUCCAGCGCGGCGUUGGUUGUCCGCGUUUAAGCGUGUAGGCUUAAAUCUUAGGUAAAUCCGGGAUUUUUUAAGGCUGAGGCGUGAUGACGAGGUCCAUUAGGACUGAAGUGGUUGAUGCCAUGCUUCCAGGAAAAGCUUCUAAGCAUCAGAUAUUGAGUGACCGUACCCCAAACCGACACAGGUGGUCAGGUAGAGAAUACCAAGGCGCUUGAGAGAACUCGGGUGAAGGAACUAGGCAAAAUGGUACCGUAACUUCGGGAGAAGGUACGCCGCUGAUGGUGAUGGGACUUGCUCCCUAAGCUGUUGGCGGCCGAAGAUACCAGGUGGCUGCGACUGUUUAUUAAAAACACAGCACUGUGCAAACACGAAAGUGGACGUAUACGGUGUGACGCCUGCCCGGUGCCGGAAGGUUAAUUGAUGGGGUUAGCUUCGGCGAAGCUCUUGAUCGAAGCCCCGGUAAACGGCGGCCGUAACUAUAACGGUCCUAAGGUAGCGAAAUUCCUUGUCGGGUAAGUUCCGACCUGCACGAAUGGCGUAACGACGGCCACACUGUCUCCACCCGAGACUCAGUGAAAUUGAAAUCGCUGUUAAGAUGCAGUGUAUCCGCGGCUAGACGGAAAGACCCCGUGAACCUUUACUAUAGCUUCACAGUGAACUUUGAACCUAUUUGUGUAGGAUAGGUGGGAGGCUUUGAAACUGGGACGCUAGUCUCAGUGGAGCCAAACUUGAAAUACCACCCUGGUAUGUUUGAGGUUCUAACUCAGGUCCGUAAUCCGGAUCGAGGACACUGUGUGGUGGGUAGUUUGACUGGGGCGGUCUCCUCCCAAAGAGUAACGGAGGAGCACGAAGGUAUGCUAAUCAUGGUCGGAAAUCAUGAGGUUAGUGCAAUGGCAUAAGCAUGCUUAACUGCGAGACAGACACGUCGAGCAGAUACGAAAGUAGGUCAUAGUGAUCCGGUGGUUCUGAAUGGAAGGGCCAUCGCUCAACGGAUAAAAGGUACUCCGGGGAUAACAGGCUGAUACCGCCCAAGAGUUCACAUCGACGGCGGUGUUUGGCACCUCGAUGUCGGCUCAUCACAUCCUGGGGCUGAAGCCGGUCCCAAGGGUAUGGCUGUUCGCCAUUUAAAGUGGUACGCGAGCUGGGUUUAGAACGUCGUGAGACAGUUCGGUCCCUAUCUGCCGUGGACGUUUGAGAUUUGAGAAGAGUUGCUCCUAGUACGAGAGGACCGGAGUGAACGAACCUCUGGUGUUCCGGUUGUCACGCCAGUGGCAUUGCCGGGUAGCUACGUUCGGACAGGAUAACCGCUGAAAGCAUCUAAGCGGGAAGCCCCCUUCAAGAUGAGAUCUCACAGGACUUUAAGUCCCUAAAGAGCCGUUCAAGACUAGGACGUUGAUAGGUUGGGUGUGUAAGCACGGUAACGUGUUGAGCUAACCAAUACUAAUUGCUCGUGAGGCUUGACCAU